AACCUUCUGAAUCUGCGACAAGAUUUAGUUAAACACAAAUUCAUUAGGGCUAAUAAAACCUGUAAGAUAAGUAAAGUG
rnacentral:pre_miRNA from 1 species